GAGGGUAUAGUUCAGUGGUAGAGUGCAUUCUUAGCAUGCACAAGGUCCUGGGUUUAAUCCCCAGUACCUCCA
rnacentral:tRNA from 1 species